rnacentral:rRNA from 1 species
UGCUGGAGGUAUCAGAAGUGCGAAUGCUGACAUAAGUAACGAUAAAGCGGGUGAAAAGCCCGCUCGCCGGAAGACCAAGGGUUCCUGUCCAACGUUAAUCGGGGCAGGGUGAGUCGACCCCUAAGGCGAGGCCGAAAGGCGUAGUCGAUGGGAAACAGGUUAAUAUUCCUGUACUUGGUGUUACUGCGAAGGGGGGACGGAGAAGGCUAUGUUAGCCGGGCGACGGUUGUCCCGGUUUAAGCAUGUAGGCGGAGGUUCCAGGUAAAUCCGGUACCUUUUAACGCUGAGGUGUGAUGACGAGGCACUACGGUGCUGAAGUAACAAAUGCCCUGCUUCCAGGAAAAGCCUCUAAGCAUCAGGUAACAUUAAAUCGUACCCCAAACCGACACAGGUGGUCAGGUAGAGAAUACCAAGGCGCUUGAGAGAACUCGGGUGAAGGAACUAGGCAAAAUGGUGCCGUAACUUCGGGAGAAGGCACGCUGGUGUGUAGGUGAAGUCCCUGCGGAUGGAGCUGAGACCAGUCGAAGAUACCAGCUGGCUGCAACUGUUUAUUAAAAACACAGCACUGUGCAAACACGAAAGUGGACGUAUACGGUGUGACGCCUGCCCGGUGCCGGAAGGUUAAUUGAUGGGGUUAUCCGUAAGGAGAAGCUCUUGAUCGAAGCCCCGGUAAACGGCGGCCGUAACUAUAACGGUCCUAAGGUAGCGAAAUUCCUUGUCGGGUAAGUUCCGACCUGCACGAAUGGCGUAAUGAUGGCCAGGCUGUCUCCACCCGAGACUCAGUGAAAUUGAACUCGCUGUGAAGAUGCAGUGUACCCGCGGCAAGACGGAAAGACCCCGUGAACCUUUACUAUAGCUUGACACUGAACAUUGAGCCUUGAUGUGUAGGAUAGGUGGGAGGCUUUGAAGCGUGGACGCCAGUCUACGUGGAGCCAACCUUGAAAUACCACCCUUUAAUGUUUGAUGUUCUAACGUAGGCCCCUAAUCGGGGUUGCGGACAGUGUCUGGUGGGUAGUUUGACUGGGGCGGUCUCCUCCCAAAGAGUAACGGAGGAGCACGAAGGUUAGCUAAUCCUGGUCGGACAUCAGGAGGUUAGUGCAAUGGCAUAAGCUAGCUUGACUGCGAGCGUGACGGCGCGAGCAGGUGCGAAAGCAGGUCAUAGUGAUCCGGUGGUUCUGAAUGGAAGGGCCAUCGCUCAACGGAUAAAAGGUACUCCGGGGAUAACAGGCUGAUACCGCCCAAGAGUUCAUAUCGACGGCGGUGUUUGGCACCUCGAUGUCGGCUCAUCACAUCCUGGGGCUGAAGUAGGUCCCAAGGGUAUGGCUGUUCGCCAUUUAAAGUGGUACGCGAGCUGGGUUUAGAACGUCGUGAGACAGUUCGGUCCCUAUCUGCCGUGGGCGCUGGAGAAUUGAGGGGGGCUGCUCCUAGUACGAGAGGACCGGAGUGGACGCAUCACUGGUGUUCGGGUUGUCAUGCCAAUGGCACUGCCCGGUAGCUAAAUGCGGAAGAGAUAAGUGCUGAAAGCAUCUAAGCACGAAACUUGCCCCGAGAUGAGUUCUCCCUGAGACUAUAAGUCUCCUGAAGGAACGUUGAAGACGACGACGUUGAUAGGCCGGGUGUGUAAGCGCAGCGAUGCGUUGAGCUAACCGGUACUAAUGAACCGUGAGGCUUAACCUU